rnacentral:tRNA from 1 species
UAUGUGCUACUUACACCAUAAAAAUUUAAUUAAAUAAUCAAUAUUAUACUUAACCCACGUUAUACCUAUUUAAUAUAAUAAAAUUUUUAGUCUUUAUCAAUCCUUUCGUACUAGAUAAAACAAAUUAACAAUUUAAAAGAUAGAAACCAACCUGGCUCGCGCCGGUCUGAACUCAGAUCAUGUAAAAUAUUAAAAAUCGAACAGAUUUACCGUAUAAAGCUUCUACACCUUAAGGUUAUUUUAAUCCAACAUCGAGGUCGCAAUCUCAUUUUUUAAUAAGAACUCUCUAAACAAAUUACGCUGUUAUCCCUAUGGUAACUUUUUUAUAAGCAAUAUACAUUGGUUACUUCAUAAAAACACAUUUAAGCUAAGGAAGUUACUUUUUAAAUAUUAUUCCUUAAUCACCCCAAUUAAAAUUCAUGUAUUACCUUACCUAAUACUUAAAAUUAAAGCUCAUUAGGGUCUUCUCGUCCCUUUAAAAAAUCCAAGCUUUUUCACUAUAAAAAUUAAUUUCUAAAAAAUAAUAUAGAGACAGGUUAACCUUCGUCAAACCAUUCAUUCUAGCCUCAAUUUAUAAGGCAAACUAUUAUGCUACCUUAGUACAGUUAAAAUACCGCAGCUGUUAAAUACAUCACCGAGCAGGUCUAACUCUCUAUUUAUAAUCUACAAAGAGACAUGUUUUUGAUAAACAGGCGAGAUUAAUACUUGCCGAAUUCCUUUAUAUUACUUAAUUAAAUUGUAAUAUUAAAUAUUUACAAAUAAAUAUUUAUAAAACCUUAUUACACUCAAAUACUCAUAUUAACAUUAUAACUAUUUAAUAAUAUUUAUAAAUAUUUAUAACAAUUUAUUUUCAACUUGAAAUUAAUUAUACUACUUAUACACUAUUAAUAUAUUUUUAAAGAAAAGCACUAUUAACCCUACUUAAAUUUUCAUACUUUAAAUAUUCUAUAAUCUACGUAAAGCUUACCCCUACACACUAAAUAAUAUUAAAUAAACAACUACUAUUAUAUUAAUAUUUCAACACUUAAAUGUUUUUAAGUAUAAACUAGCCAUCAUAAAAAUCGUUUAACAUUUCAUUACCAUUUAAUACUAAUUAUAUAACUUUACAACGUUAACAUAUAUUUAUUAAAUAAAUCCUUUUAUUUCGAGAUUUUAUUAUUAAUUAAAUUUAUAUCAUCAAUUCAUUAUGCUAAAGGUACGAAAUCAAACUUCUACUAUAACUUAUCUUUUUCAUAUUCCUUUACAGUACUUAAUUAAACAAUAAAUCUAAGCCAUUUAUACAUCACAUCAAAUAAUUUAAUUUAUUUUCCUUAACACAAUCUAUUAUUUUCUUUGUAACAAUUACUAUUAUUUUUAUUUACUUCUUUAUACCUUUAAACCAGGGACAGUUUCCACUACCCCUACUAUGUUACGACUUAUCUUAUUUUCCAACAAGAGCGACGGGCGAUAUGUACGCAUCAUAAAGCCUAAUUCAUAAUAACAUAUUAAUUUAUUAUUACUACCAAGUCCACCUUCAUAAACUAAUUACAUAAUUCAAUCCAUAUUUAAUAAUUAUAAAUUGUAGCUCAUUAUAACCUUUUCUAUAAGCUGCAUUUUGACUUGACAUCACAAUUAUUAUUAUUAUGUCUCUAAUUUUACAAAAUAAACUGACGACAGCAAUAUACAUACUGAUUACAUUUCAAAAAAAAGUAAGUAUAUAUUGAGGAUUAUCAAAUUAAUUAACAAGCUCCCCUGGAUGGAUUUACGACACCGCCAAGUCUUUUAAGUUUCAAACAUAUAAUACUUCAAGUAUUUUAUUUAUACUGCUUUAGUAAUCAAAAUUUUAACAUAAAGAAUAGUAGGGUAUCUAAUCCUAGUUUUCUUUCUUACCUUCAAAGAAUAACCCUAAGAGUAAUCAAAUCAAUAAUAAUAAUUAAAUUUUACUUACAAUAUACUAUUCUCAUCAACUCUUCUAUAAUCAACCUAUUACUUUAUUUUAUACUACAUAAUAUAGAUUUAAAGUAUUAGUAUAACCGCAGAUGCUGGCACCAAUUUAACCACUUUUAAUUACAUUAACUAUAUCAAACCUUCAUCCAUUAUAUAAAUAUAAAUACUGCGUAAUUUAUACACCUAUAUAUUAAUAAAAUAUUAAUAUAAAGCCCUUACUCAAAAUAUAUUAAACAUUCUAACAUAGAACUAUUUUAAAUAAAACGAUUUAUAAUAUAAACCUAACAUGUAUAAUCUAAUUGUAACCUAUAUAUUAACCAAAACCAAAUCACUUAUAUAAGAAAUGAUCCAUCAUAUAUGAUUUCGACUCAUAAAUAGGUAUUUAUAUACCCUUAUAUUUUAAAUUAUAAGAAUUACAACCACAAAAACAAGUAUAUAACAAUUAAUUAACAAAAUUAGUCAAUGUUCCAUUAUAUAAAAAAAAACCUUAUUUAAACCAAAAAUUCCUUGACCUCCUAAAAUUUCAAAUCAUCCCAUAUCCACUACUUUUAACCUAAAAUUAGUUAUAGAGCUGAAAUACCCUAAAAGCGGUCUGCAUAGAAAUAUUGACAAAAAUCAUAUUCUACUAUUUAUAUAAUUUAACAAACCACCUCUAAAUUUUACAUAACCCCUAUCCCAACAACUUAUAGAUAUAAACAACCUAAUAAUAAUUAAAAAAAAAACAAUAAUUUUAAGCAUAAAAGGAAGAUAAAAAUUCUCACCAAAUAUCCUAAACAAUUUACUAAAUAAAUACCCCCCUCACACGGCUCCUAUUGCUAAUAUAGAUAUAGGAAUUAAUAUCAUUAUAUCUUCAUCCUUUAUAUUAUGAUAACUUUCAGAACUUCUGCUUCCUCAAACAAUAAAUAAUAAAAAUCGUAUUCUAUACAAUACAGUUAAACAAACUCUAAUAACACCCAAAAAUACAAUAAAAAUAUUUAUAUUACCAAUCAUUAAACCCUCAAUAAUUAAAUCUUUUGAAUAAAAACCUGCUAAGAAAGGCAAUCCACAUAAAGCUAUAUUAGAAAUAUUUAAAAAAACAGAAGUUACGGGCAAUAAUUUAGAUACAUUAUUAAUCUGACGCAUAUCCUGCUUUCCUCUAUAACAAUGAAUAAUAUUACCACCGCACAUAAAUAAUAAAGCCUUAAACAUCGCAUGAGUAUAUAAAUGAAACAAAGCUAGCAUUGGUAAACCUAACCUUAACGAUAUUAUUAUUACACCUAAUUGACUUAAAGUCGACAAAGCAAUGAUUUUCUUUAUAUCAUACUCAUAUAAAGCACAAAUACCUGAUAUAAUAGUUGUUAUAAUAGACAUAUAAAUCAUAAAUGUAUUAAAUCAAUAAUAAUAAUUCAAAUAAUUAAAAAAACGAACAAACAAAAAUACCCCAGCUGUAACUAAAGUAGAAGAAUGAACUAAAGUAGAAACUGGAGUAGGAGCAGCUAUUGCUGCUGGUAAUCAACUCCUAAAAGGUAUUUGAGCUCUUUUAGUUAUCCCAGCAAUUAUAAUAAAAAAAUUUACUACUUCAAAACCAGCAAAAUUCCAUAUACAUAGUAUAUUUCAAUGCCCAAUCACAAUCAAAAUUGAAAUAGCUCCCAAAAUAAAACAAUCCCCAACCCGAUUUAUUAAAACAGUCAAUAUUCCGGCAGCCAAAGACUUAUUAUUUUGAUAGUAAAUUACUAAACAAAAAGAAACUAACCCUAACCCAUCUCAACCUAAUAAUAAAGAAACUAAUCUAGGAAUAAAAAUUAAAAAAUUUAUAGACAAAACAAAUAAUAUAACCACUAACACAAACCGAUAUAAAUACCGAUCCCCCUUCAUAUAACUCAUCGUAAAAAUUAUAACACAGGAAGAAAUAAAACAAACCAAUCCUCUAAACCUACAACUUAUUCAAUCAAUCACAAAAUCAAAUUCAAUAAUUACACUUACACAAUUUAUUAACUCCCACCUAAAAAAUAAACAAAUAUUAUUUAAAUAACUAUAAACUGUCACUAUUAUUAUAAACAAAAACCAACUAAAUAAUAUCACCCUACAAAAUAAUUCUAUUCCUAUAAAUAUUAACAUA